AUACGGAGGGAGCAAGCGUUAUUCGGAAUCACUGGGCGUAAAGGACGCGUAGGCGGGUUUGUAAGUCAGGUGUGAAAUCCUACAGCUCAACUGUAGAACUGCACUUGAAACUACAGACCUAGAGUAUGGAAGGGGCAGAUGGAGUUAGUGGUGUAGGGGUAAAAUCCGUAGAUAUCACUAGGAAUACCGAAAGCGAAGGCGAUCUGCUGGGACAUUACUGACGCUGAGGCGUGAAAGCGUGGGGAGCAAACAGGAUUAGAAACCCCGGUAGUCC
rnacentral:rRNA from 1 species